rnacentral:rRNA from 1 species
CCUACGGGUGGCAGCAGUGAGGAAUAUUGGUCAAUGGACGAGAGUCUGAACCAGCCAAGUAGCGUGAGGGAUGACUGUCCUAUGUAUUGUAAACUUCUUUUGUAAGGGAAUAAAACCAGGCACGUGUGCCUUUUUGAAUGUACUUUAUGAAUAAGGAUCGGCUAACUCCGUGCCAGCAGCCGCGGUAAUACGGAGGAUCCGAGCGUUAUCCGGAUUUAUUGGGUUUAAAGGGAGCGUAGAUGGGUUGUUAAGUCAGUUGUUAAAGUUUGGGGCUCAACCGUAAAAUUGCCAUUGAUACUGGCAGUCUUGAGUACAGUUGAGGUAGGCGGAAUGCGUGGUGUAGCGGUGAAAUGCUUAGAUAUCACGAAGAACCCCGAUUGCGAAGGCAGCUUACUA